AUGGUCAAGGAAAUUAAGUGGCUUGAAAAUCAUGUGCUUAAAGAAGAUACUCCAGAGUGGGAGCAAAUCCGUCGUAAAGGUUUGUACCAAGCAAUUAGGAUUGCUGCUGAGUUCCCCAACAUUGAUUUCAGUCUAGCAUAUUAUGGUUUCAUGGAGUAUAUAUGGAGGACUCGCUUUUAUGUCGUGUUUGUGAAAGGUCUUGACCGUGCCUAUUUUGAGAUUUGGAAGUGGGUUACUGGGCAGCAGAUGUGUUUCAGAGAUGCUCUGCAUGAAGUUUACAAUGAGAAUUUGAUUCCAUCGCGCCAACACAUUUUGAAGGCCGAGCUGCAGCAACCUGGAGGCUUUUUGCAACUGGAGCGACAAUUCCACCGGUGCACAGAGGGCAUUAGUAAGGAAGUUCCGGAUUGGAUAGCCCAAGAGUUGAUUUCUCAGGAAGUUAGAUUCAAGCGCCGCGCGUUGCCAAAGACAUAUGCGCAAUACGCGAGGAAGAAGCUCAAGGUUGCAGAAGCCAUAGGAUUGAUUCCCAAGGCCAAGGCCUAG
rnacentral:rRNA from 1 species